rnacentral:rRNA from 1 species
CUUGAAAAAGGGAGUUCAAGAAGAGCUUCGAAGAAGCUUUCUUGAUGGAGGGGAGUGGCAGACGGGUGAGUAACGCGUGGGAACAUACCCUUAUCUUCGGAACAACUCCGGGAAACUGGAGCUAAUACCGAAUGUGCCCUUAGGGGGAAAGAUUUAUCGGAUAAGGAUUGGCCCGCGUUGGAUUAGCUAGUUGGUGGGGUAAAGGCCUACCAAGGCGACGAUCCAUAGCUGGUCUGAGAGGAUGAUCAGCCACAUUGGGACUGAGACACGGCCCAAACUCCUACGGGAGGCAGCAGUGGGGAAUAUUGGACAAUGGGCGCAAGCCUGAUCCAGCCAUGCCGCGUGAGUGAUGAAGGCCUUAGGGUUGUAAAGCUCUUUCACCGGAGAAGAUAAUGACGGUAUCCGGAGAAGAAGCCCCGGCUAACUUCGUGCCAGCCGCCGCGGUAACAC